GACAAGCGAGUACAGACGUGUUUCUCACGAGUUCUUUCAUUCUUAUAAUUUUCGCGCAACAUUUAUUUUAGCUUUGCUGUGAUUCUUUUAAGACAAAGUGAACUAUUUAUGCUGAUAGAAAUGAGCGGUUCGAGUAUUUGAAUCUUUUGGAUAAAUCACAAUUAAAUGCAGCUUACAGACCUGAGGCCAUAAACUCAAAGAAAUUUUUUUCUCUAAAUUAAAUCUGAAAAUUAAAACCGGAAAUUAAACAAGGAUUUUCAAUUGGAUGCAGUUCUUCAGUUUCCACAUAUAUUUUUGCGGAAGCGUCUCGAGCGACAUGUUGACACUUGAUUCAUAGCGUAAAACAUUAAAUAUCAUAAUUUUUUAUAACAUGGAGUUGGACGAUUGCACGUACUGUGGCAGUGCAAUCGAUGUCGGUACUGGUUUUCAAUGUAUAGGUCCAUGCAAAAAAGUUCAGCAUUUUAAAUGCAGAGACAGGAAAGAUUAUGAUUCUCAUCCAAUUUAUUUUAGCCCUCUUAACAAGGGCAGGUUCUGCUGUUCUUUAUGCAUCGAUAAUUUUGACUUGCGAGAUUUCGCGAAACUGAGUUUUUCAGAUGAAAAAAAAUCUUUGAAGGAUUUAUACGACAGUAUUUCGAACAUAAAACCUAUUAUUAAACUACUGACUGACUUGCAAAAUAUAACUAUUUUAUGUACUUUAGGGAUAGAACAAUGGUCGAAUAAGUCUUUAAAAUUAAUUAACUUUAUAAAGAAUAUUAGUAUUAAAUUAUCUUUCGAUGCGCAAUUGAUUAUAGCAGGUAAAUAUCUGUUGGUUUUGGAAUCUUUCGAGAUGAAAAAACAUAUGUUUAAAGAAGUUGAAGAGCUUAUGCUCGAAUUAAAGAAGGAUUCAAUCGAUCUUGAAAAAACGUACUUGGAUUUAAAGAAUACUUUAUUAUCUCUUUCUGAAAUAUGUAGGAAUGAAGUGACUAGUCAGAAUCAAAACUCGUAAACUGAAAUUUCACAAUUAAAACAGAAACUCAAUAAUUGAAUUUAUGUAUACAAUGGUCUACGUAGAAUGAAAAAGGCAAUGAAAUUGAGUUAUCAUCUCAUCGAACAGUCUAACAAUUUUCCUAUUAUAUUUACAAGUAGCAUUUUACAUCCAUUUUACAAAAGUUAAUAAUGUAAUGAUAUUUAAAUAUGAUCUGUCAAUUUUGCAAAACUUGUCAAAAUUUAUCCCGGAAAAUAUGAGAUUUUUAAGCAUCAUCAUCGCUUUCUUUACAUUUUUCUUGCGGUAAAAAUUUAUAUCAGUGAAAAAACUAAAGAAGAAAUACUUUUAUUUUGUCAAAAUUUCUAUUUUUUUUUUUUAAAUUCGGACAAAUUUAUAAUAAAAAAUUCUUUGAUAUCGCGACAAUUAAAAUUGACCGCUUGUAGAUUUAUAAACAAUAACAAUAACAUUUUAUACUAACUAGGUAUUUAGUAUAAAAAUAAUAAUGUUAUCUAUGUCAUUGUCUUUAUAUCUUUCUUUUCACCCAUUAAAAUACGUUACUAUAAAAAUUUAUGUAUUAGAUCACAAUUAUGCGGUUCCAGUUUCUAAUAAUAUAUGUAAUUCCAACAUAUUUAAUUUUCGUAAAAAAGCAGACGGAGAUCAAUUAUAAAAUAUGCAAUAGAAUUGCACAAAAGUAUAAAAUCUUAUUUUAGGAAUAUCAUGAAUCACUGAAUGUUAUAAUUAAGAUAAGUUAAAAAAAAAGUAUAAUUAAGACAAGUAAGCAAUGUUGUAAUUAAAAUAAUGUAAUUAAGCUACAAAUUUUCUGUAUACAUUUUUUCCAUAGCCACAUCAUAUUGUUUCUAUUAUAUAUUUUUUUUUAUUUUAAUUCAAAAUAUUAUUGCGUCAAAAUCUCAUUUAAUACAGGAAGUGCGAAAAGAUGUAGAUAGAAAGAGCAGACUGCGAUUUCGCGACAGCAACAGUUCACGAGGAUAGACCGCAAGAUAUCCGAGUUUUUCCGGAAUCGCCGACCAAACCCUUUUCCCUAAAAAUUCCAUUUGGAUAUAGAUUUGUUGGCGUUGUUUAGCGAGAUCUUGUUCCUUUGAAGAAGUUCCUUUGCUUCGUGUUUGCAAAUUGGAGGAUAAAAUUCUCGGUUAUUCUUGCAGCGAUAUUUCGUUGCUCGGGUCAAUCAUUUGCCUUAUCAGCAGGAUAUAACACCCUCUGGUCGAUGUCAUUAGCGCCUUUGUGAACGAGCACAUGCUUUAAUCCACUCGAUGGAUAUAUCGUGUAUUAAACUGUCAAUAUAUUUGAUAUAUAUAUACAGAGUGGACCGAAACGUUCCGGCUAAACUUUGAAAUAUUAGAUAUUAGUUAUUUUUCAUUUAUGAAAUAUUGUCAUAUAUUUUUUAAUAUCAUGAAUAAAGUCA